GGUGAUGUUGAACAUCUUUUGAUUUAAGCCAUUUGUGUUUAAUUUUGUGUGAAUUGUUCAUGUUUCUGCAGGUUUUUUAUUGGCUUAUUGGUCUUGUCAAUCUGUAAGAAAUAUUUAUUAAAGAAAUCAGUUUAUUAUGUGUGUUAUAAGUGUCUUCCCAAAAUUGGUCAUUUGUGUUUUAGCUUUGUGUUUGAUUUUUUUUGGACAGCAGAAACUUUGGAUUUUCUAACCUUGUUGAUACAUAGACUAAUAAGACAGUAGAUUUGAAAGUUGCCUUAGUUUAAAAACCACUGGACCAGACAAUAUGUUCUUUAUUGCCUUGGGAUUGCUGUGGAUACCCAGGGACCUUUUUGCUAUUAUCUUUUGGGGUUCUCUUUAAGAGGUUAUUGAAUAAAGAGUUCCAGUGUUAAAAAUAAAAAAUUUGAAGUGUAAAAACUAUUGGCUUAAAAAGUUAACCACCUUUAAUUUACAGAUGGAGAGAUUGAAGCUCUGUGAGGAUGAGGGACUUGACAUUUGGAUGUCUGAUGCCCAGAAGUGUGCUUCCCAGCUGCCACUUCCAUAGCUCUUAUCAGUACUUUAUAUCACAUUUUCUUUGGGACUUAAUCAUCAUUGAUCUCUAAUUAUUUGCAAAAUGGACCUACAAGCAUGAAAUAAGUUAGUCCAAAUCAUGUUGGAGGUCAGAGAUCAGAACCCAGCUCUUACACACAGUUACAUUAAAUAGUUGAAUUGUUAGGUGUGCUAGGAAAUUAACUGUUCCCCUCUAGAUUUAUUUCU